UUACACCCUAAAAUCUCCCAAAACCCCUAAAACCAGCCAAUUAGAAAGAGAAACCACAGAUCUCACUCUCCUCUAAUCUCUCUACGACGCCGCCCGGUGCCCUAGCCCUCACUCUCGUGUCUCGCCGCCUUCCACCACUGACCACCGGUGCUCCUCACUCUCGCCUCCAAGGACCCAAAUCAAUAUAUUUCUGUAAGGACUUGUUUUCUUUUCUUCUUCUAUUUUUAUUUAUUUAUUUAUUUAUUUUUUUGUUAACGACGUAUGUUUUCUGAUUUUAUGUUUAUAUGGGUUGGUGAUAGAUUGUUAAUUGAAAUAUCUAGAUUAAAAUGAUAUUAGCUUUGAUUUUGAUUUUUGAUUCAAGUUAAGUUCUCCUAUUGAAGUACGUUUUUCAUCUGUGAGGAUGAUUGUGUGAGAAUUGACGUGGUGGAAGUGGAGCGUUGAAUAGAUAGGUUUAAAUUUAUCUGUUGAUGAAAUGGGAUUCAUGGCAUUAAGGUUUAUUGAUUGAGUUUGGAUGGUGGUUAAAUAACUGCAAGAUUUAGAUUCUCAUGUAUCCUUGUGCUAUUGCAUCAUUGUCAACCACGGAAAAUAUUCAAUGUUCCAAUUGCUACUCCAUUUCCGGACUUAAGUAACCAAUGACCUAAAUGGUGAUGGAUUAAUAUUUUGUGUAGAUGUAGAGAGGUGAUUAAUGAAUGCAUAUCCUACUAACAUAUGGAGUUGUUUCCCAUUUGGUUAUGGGUUUUGUUUUCACUGUCAUUCCACUUUGCAUUAGACGAAUUAGAUUUGUUGUUGCAUAUACCUACCAAUUAAGAAAUCCCUUGAUCAAGAACUACUGGGAACUACCAAUCUUGUAUUUUUAAAUGAUCAAGUGAUGAACUACUGGGAACUGCCAAUCAUGUGUAUGCACAAUGUUUAAGCAGAUGCCCCCGUCAAAGCCUGUCUCUUCUGGUUAAAUCCUUCAAGGUAAUAUGCGCAAUGUUUAAGCAGAUGCUCCUGUCAAAGCUUGUCUCUUCUGGUAAAGUCCUUCAAGGCAGCCUAUUACAUGAAAUUUGGGACCCCAAUUCCAGUCACAAAGCACCAACUUAAUGGCAAAAAAGGCCAAAACACGACAUCAAAGUGAACGAAUAUAUACCCAAUCAACCAUACAUAAUAUGUUGUCAGUGUACAUGCCAAAAUCAUUUAUGUUGAUCUUUGCUUGCUUGACGACUUAAAUAUAGCUACAGAAUUAUGUUGCAUUCAUUAUACUUUCAAAAAACUAAAGAAAUCAUAACCAGAUAAUAAAUGAUAUUUUCACUUGAACUUACAAGACAUAUAAUGUCUGGUGAAAUGACAAAUAACAAACACCUAAAAUAACACCAAACAUAAUCAUCAGAUCCUCUCGUCCCCUCUAUGGUGCUGUAUAAGUAACUUCACGGUUUGUUUAUUCUUCAUGGACAGCUAUAUUUUGCACUUCCCUGAUCAGUCUUCUUGGUAGUCCGGUUAUUUUUUCUGGCAAGUGAUUCCUUGACAUAAUCAUACAUGUCAUAGACUGGCUUCAAUACGCUUCCAAGUACUCCAGUACUUUGGUUCAAUUUCUUUGUUUACAAUGAUAUUGAGGCUUGUCCUCGAACUCAAUUUCUUCAUGUUGCCUUCUUUGUUCAUUUUAUGGAGUUCUUCUAUAGCCACCCAAGCUGUAGACUCGGCUCUCUCUUCUUUCAUUGCUUGCCUUGAAUCCAUUCUUUCCUCCUUAACACGCUGGAAGGUAAAUUCUCUUAUAUCGAAAGCAAAAUUCCUACUAAAAUAAUAGAUUAUUUUCAGUUCAUUCCUACAUCUGAAAGGUCCAAAUCAACUCAAUCAACAUGUCAUGUUAAUUUGUCAACCUCUUUCUCUUUUUACCUAUUCUACAACCGUUGCUUCUUUAUACGUCCCAGUUGAGACUGCCCGACUAGGAGUCAAAUUUAAUGGCCAAUUGUGCUCCAAAUUUCUAUAUAACAAAGUUUGUGGACAUCAAAAUCCUAAGCCGCCAACUACUAACAGGGCCUUUUUCAAACUUUGCCCAUAUCAGCAUAAAUACUUAUGAAUAGCCUGUUGAACCAUAUUGAAGGCCAUCAGAGAUAAUCUUCAAUUGAAAUGCUCAAUUGUCAUGAUCAUCUAGCCUAAAAUACCCAUUAUCAGAACUCCUCGAGACUAAAAUUGUGCAUCAAUGACCAAAACCAACUCCAUAUCAGUUACUCAACCACAAACCAAAUAUUCAGUGCAAUUUAGAUCACACUUUCAGUGCAGACGCUGGUUGAAAUUUUGGGCGAAAUCGAUGGGUUAGCCUUAGGGUUUGGGGCUCCAUUUUGGGGAUUUUGAUUCCACUGCAAAUUGAUGAAUUUAUCUUUUGUGAGAACGAAGGCAUGUUUGAUUUCAUAUUUAUGGUAAAGGCGUGUUUGGUAAUUGUUGAUGUGGAGCUGAUUUGGCAAUUUACUUACCAUUUGAAGACAUUUAACUGGACAUCUCAUUUUUCCGUUCGCCAUGUCAGCAAAUCUACUAACGGAUCCCACUCGGUGAGUGAUGGAGUGAGAUGGAGCAAAGUUCAGUAACCAAUGGGACUUUUCAUGAAGUUCGGUGUGCAAGUCGUGACAUGGUGCAAAGUUCAGUAGCCAUUGAAACAUUAACUCCUUGAACAUGGACUCAUCCACCCCCAAUAAUUGACUCUGGGCUAUCAAGGCCAAAAAUGGGGGCAAAUUCCCAACCCACAAGAAGAAAUCUGUAGCCGUAGAGCUAGUUGCCGAGAAGGCACCCAAAUUCUUCCCAACUGAUGAUGUCAAGAAGCAACUUUCCAACAAGCGCAAGCACAAACCCGCAUGACUUAGGCCAUCUCCAACACUUCACCAAAUUUUGCACAAAAUCUUGCACCAAACCAAAAUUCUUCUCCAAUUAUUACAUCAAAACUUUCACCAAAUGAACAGUGCUUUAUAAUUUUAUUCAUUCUUUUGAUUUUUGACAAUGUAUUUAUUUUAAAAAAAUUAUUUAUUUAUUUGAUUUUCUCUUCAUUCUUCUUUACAUUUUUAACUGUUGAUUCUUCCAAUUUUCUUGAUUAUUUUUGUAUGUGGCCAUCUAUUGUGUUUUGAAACUCCUAAAAAAUUUGAGGUUUUGAGAAGAUGAUGGUCUAUUUUGUUUUCCUUUUUAUUUUAAUUUAGGAUUUAUAGUAUAUUUGGUGGUGGCGUAUUUUUAAUUGUUCAUUUACUGCUUUAUGUUCAAGUCUAAAAAUUGGGGUUGUACUUUGAUAAUUUUUUAACAUUGCUUAAAUCCCCUUUCCUUGCUGUAAUGGUCUCUCUAUUAUCUACUAUACACAAUGUUUGUCUUUUAAAUGUAAUUGUAUGAGUGAAUUUAGAAUUGACUU
rnacentral:lncRNA from 1 species